rnacentral:rRNA from 1 species
AUUGAACGCUGGCGGCAUGCCUUACACAUGCAAGUCGAACGGUAACGGGCCUUCGGGUGCCGACGAGUGGCGAACGGGUGAGUAAUGUACCGGAACGUACCUUUCAGUGGGGGAUAACGUAGCGAAAGUUACGCUAAUACCGCAUAUUCUGUGAGCAGGAAAGCGGGGGAUCGCAAGACCUUGCGCUGAUUGAGCGGCCGAUAUCAGAUUAGCUAGUUGGUGAGGUAAAGGCUCACCAAGGCGACGAUCUGUAGCGGGGCUGAGAGGAUGAUCCGCCACACUGGAACGGAGACACGGUCAAGACUCCUACGGGAGGCAGCAGUGGGGAAUUUUGGACAAUGGGGGCAACCCUGGUCCAGCCAUGCCGCGUGAGUGAAGAAGGCCUUCGGGUUGUAAAGCUCUUUCGGCCGGGAAGAAAUCGCAUGGGUUAAUACCCUGUGCGGAUGACGGUACCGGCAUAAGAAGCACCGGCUAACUACGUGCCAGCAGCCGCCGCCG